rnacentral:rRNA from 1 species
AUAUGGCUAUCAUUAUAAUUUUUAACUCUAAUUGUUGUGAGGUUCUUUUGUUUAUUUUUAUUUUAUAUUUAAUAUUUUGUAAAAUAUUAUUAUUUUUGUGUUGUUUAAAAGAAUUUUAAAAAUAUUGGUUUUCGAACUGGAUUAGUACCCAGGUAGACAAAUAUUUAUUAGUACGGUGGAGUAAAGUUUUUUUUAAACCGAUAAAAAUAUUGACUGACUUCAGAUUUUUUUUUGGAACAUGUUUUUGGAGAGUCCUCCUUAGAAUUUUUUCUUUUGGCGCAUGUAUGAUUGUUUAGUUUUUAUAUUAGUUAUAAUGCUUUCUUGAUUUUAACACAGAUAUAUAUUUGGCAUGAUGAGAUUUUUUUUAUGUGUAUACUAUUAUAUGUUAGUGUAUUCGGAUACUAACUGGGAUUGUUUGUUGAAGUUGGAAAAAAAAGUAAUAU